GGCCAGGGAAAAGGACACGGAGGCUGGGACAGCGAUGUCCCCGCUCGGGGGCGGCCUGGUGGAGCGGCCGCAGCCGCCCACCUAUUCCGAGGUGGGUGCGGCGACUCCCCUAUUCAGAGGGGGAGUCGGAGCAGGAGUAGUCGGGGGCUAUAAAGCGGUGAGAGAGCGGAGGAGUUACCAGGAGAGACAGCUCCCCCUCUUCGUCGGCUCGGGGGACAGCGGCGGGCGGCAGCGAGUGGCGCCACUGGCGGAGGGGGCACGAGGAGGCUAACCAAGUUGUGGAGGCGGCAGAAGGCGACGAUGGAGAUGCAGCUGCGCGCGCUCGGCCCUCCGUGGUGUCGUGGCCUAGCUCGGCAGAAGAAGGAGCCUAGGGGCGGCAGCCAGCGGCAGCUAAGUAAGCGGAGGUCGUUGGGGCCGGAGGGGCUCUACGAGAGGGAGAGGCGAUGGGGCUCUGGCGACAACUACGGGGACACUAGCUGAUGCAGCUGCUGCUGGGAAGAAGGCAAAGUCGCUUCGAAGGUCUACCACCUAGGGACCUUGGUCUACGGUGGCGGCUACCUACGACGAUGUACUUCUGGCGGCUGCUGGUACUCAUCAAUCCUCCAGGGUCCGUCCUCCAGAACGGAGAAGCUAGCAACAACGAAAACACGAUCGGAAGAAUUCCGUAGGAACAAAUUGAAUACAUAUAUGAGUCUAUAACAACGAAGGCGACUGAGAACACAUAGCUCGAUACAUAAACUCGGGAGCUCCGGGGACCGAACAUUAUAUUUCGAACAUAAUAAAACUAAACACAGAUCUCAACACAACACUAUAGAAGGGCACUCAGG
rnacentral:rRNA from 1 species